rnacentral:rRNA from 1 species
GACGAACGCUGGCGGCGUGCCUAAUACAUGCAAGUCGAACGCAGUGGGGACGGGUGAGUAACACGUGGGUAACCUCCCAUCAGAGGGGAUAACACUUGGAAACAGGUGCUAAACCGAUACUGAUGGAUGGACCCGCGGUGCAUUAGCUAGUUGGUAAGUGAACGGCCCACCAAGGACCCGGUGCAUAGCCGGCCUGAGAGGAUGAUCAGUCACACUGGAACGGAUACACGGUCCAGACUCCUACGGGAGGCAGCAGUGGGGAAUAUUGGACAAUGGGCGAAAGCCUGAUCCAGCCAUGCCGCGUGUGUGAAGAAGGUCUUCGGAUUGUAAAGCACUUUAAGUUGGGAGGCGUUACCAACAGAAUAAGCACCGGCUAACUUCGUGCCAGCAGCCGCGGUAAUUC